GGCGAAAUGAUGAUUCUGUAAACUGAUUCAUGAUGUUUCAAAAUGGAAAAACAAGUCUUCAAAGUUUUCUGAUCGCC